CCUACGGGUGGCAGCAGUGGGGAAUAUUGGGCAAUGGGCGCAAGCCUGAUCCAGCAACGCCGCGUGAAGGAAGAAGGCCCUCGGGAUGUAAACUUCUUUUAUCAGGGACGAAACAAAUGACAGUACCUGAAGAAUCAGCCACGGCUAACUACGUGCCAGCCGCCGCGGUAAUACGUAGGUGGCAAGCGUUAUCCGGAUUUACUGGGUGGAAAGGGCGUGUCGGCGGGAGAGCAAGUCAGACGUGAAAUUCCAGGGCUCAACCCUGGAACUGCGUUUGAAACUGUUCUUCUUGAGUGAUGGAGAGGCAGGCGGAAUUCCGUGUGUAGCGGUGAAAUGCGUAGAUAUACGGAGGAACACCAGUGGCGAAGGCGGCCUGCUGGACAUUAACUGACGCUGAGGCGCGAAAGCGUGGGGAGCAAACAGGAUUAGAUACCCCGGUAGUC
rnacentral:rRNA from 1 species